UUUUAGAUUUCACCAUCAAAGAGUACCACUGGUAAUUCUUGUAUGUGGAACUGCUUGUGUUGGAAAGUCUACCAUUGCUACCCAACUGGCACAAAGGCUAAAUUUGCCAAAUGUCCUACAGACCGAUAUGGUAUAUGAAUUGCUACGAACAGCGACAGAUGCACCAUUGGCGUCUACUCCUGUAUGGGCUCGAGACUUCAGCUCCUCUGAGGAGUUAAUCACUGAAUUUUGUAGAGAAUGCAUAAUUGUUCGUAAAGGUUUGGCUGGUGAUUUGAAGAAGGCUAUGAAAGAUGGGAAACCAAUUAUAAUUGAGGUAU